GACUGGUUUUGGAGAGAAAAGGGGAAGUAAUUAGGGGUGAGCAUGGGACGGGUACUCGUACCAUUAGUACUAACGGUUCGGGUACGGAACAAUCCGGUCGGUCAUGGACGGUGAACAGCCCUAUACGGAACACGUUAUUUUUUCCUCAUUUGGCAAAAAAAAAUAAAAAUAAAAAACAGAGAAUUCCAGAAAAAAAAACUGGGAACUCGUUGUUGCCUAUGAGCUUAAUAAUUGAAUUGUUGAGCACUUCUUGCAACCUUGAUUGAGGUGAUUCAGUUCGAUUUACGUAACCCUAAUCCCUGACAUUGCAUCUUCUAAUCCUCAAGAUACCUUAUUAAGCGAUUGAGUAAGCAGGAAAUUGGGAAAGAGCUGCUGUAAGAUUGAUAGCACUAAAAGGAAAUGGCUUGUAAUCCUCGAGGCUGUGCUUCCUUGUUCUUGUGGCUUGUUCUUUCUUUGCACAUCUUGUAUUUUACAACAGCUGUUGAUGCCAAAUCUGGUCAUCGUAUUACCGAUGCUGAAAUAAGAAUGAAGAAAGAUGAGUGUUAUGCUGACAUUGAAAGUGGUCUGUGGGGCUUGGAUUGCAAAACUUCGAUCAUUGCUAAGGAGAACUGUGCUUUGCGAUGUCUUUCACCACGGUGUUAUGAGCUUGUUUAUGAGAGUGAUCCGCUGGAAGAAGGAGAGAAGGACCUUAUCAGGAGUCAAGAGUACAAGUACUGUAUGUACAGGUAAUUGACCUCACAACAAUUGCUUGUACUCUUCUGAUACUCAGCAUUGCCUGUUCUGAAAACUAUUAUUGGAUAUCAACUGGAGAAAGCAUUGAUGGCAUCAAGGGUUCUUUGGGCUAGUCUUCCUACAACUGUAAACUUGUAUGCCAUGUCAAUGUUCUUGGACACAAGUAUAACCCGGGAAAAGGAAUUCUGCUUGUUCUUCUAUUGCCUUUGCUAAAGCAGUUUCAUAUCAGCUGAUGUAGAUGUGAUGUGACUCUAAUUCUUUAUCAAUUAUCGAUCUGAGCUGUAUUUUUUCUGGUGACUUGUGCAUUUUCAACUCUCAUGCAUAACCUUGGGAGAGUCAGAAAUGUAAAUGGGAUCUUAUUCGAUCAAAUCUCUGUAAACACUUGAACAUACCCCAUGAACAAAUACUGUGAUUUGAUCUUGAAUUGCUGUAACCAGCUUCUUUCAAU